GAUCUUUUCUCCCAUGUAUUGAGUAAUGCGUAUCUGCCUAAUUAGCAAGUUAUUAGUAUUAAAACAAUCCUCCUUUUUCUCCUCCCAAGGAAUCUGAAUAUGAGGAUCUCUUAUUCUCUCUCUUUCUCAUCCUUUUUUUUGUUGCAUUUCUUGAUUCUCAGGUUUUAGUAAGCUUUAUAUACCUUCUUAUACACUCUUGGUGGAUCAGUAUUUUCCAUAAUGUGUCUUGCUAAUUCUUCAGGUAGGAUUCUUCUCAGCAGUUCUUCAUUCCACUCUCCAUCUUCUGCUACUUCUUUGAUUAGUAUGAUUGUUUGACCACAGAUAAAGCCUGCUGGAGUAAUGUGGUAUAGAGCCCCCAAUCUUGUCCAGUUAUCCAAUCACAAGUAGUUCAUGACCACAGAAGAUGGCAGAGGCGAACCCAAGAUUUGCAGAAUCCAGGUGCACCAAUAUUAUCUUAAUUUAGGUGUUAGCGAAACUUUCAAUGACAAUUAAUGGAUAAUGUAGUAUUCGAUCGCUAAUGACUUGAACAAAAUUGGAAAUAU